rnacentral:rRNA from 1 species
CCAAUAGCGUAUAUUAAAGUUGUUGCAGUUAAAAAGCUCGUAGUUGAACUUCGGGGUUCACCCAUUGGUCAGGCUUAACUGUCUGUACCGAUGAGAUGGAUCUCUACCUUCUGAGGAACUUUCAUGCCAUUUAGUUGGUGUGAUGGGAAAUCAGGACUGUUACUUUGAAAAAAUUAGAGUGUUUAAAGCAGGCUAUUGUCUGAAUACAUUAGCAUGGAAUAAUGAAAUAGGACGGAUUGGUUCUAUUUUGUUGGUUUCUAGGAUCACCGUAAUGAUUAAUAGGGAUAGUUGGGGGCAUUAGUAUUCAAUUGUCAGAGGUGAAAUUCUUGGAUUUAUUGAAGACUAACUACUGCGAAAGCAUUUGCCAAGGAUGUUUUCAUUAAUCAAGAACGAAAGUUAGGGGAUCGAAGACGAUCAGAUACCGUCGUAGUCUUAAUCAUAAACUAUGCCGACUAGGGAUCGGACGAAGUUAAUUUUAUAAUGACGCGUUCGGCACCUUACG